GGCAUUAUGGCCGAGUGGUUAAGGCGAAAGACUCGAAUGUAAUACCAUUAGGACCCCUUAUUUUGAGGGUGCUCUUGUAGUAAAGAUUCGGUUAUCUUUUGGGUUUUACCCGCGCAGGUUCAAAUCCUGCUGAUGUCG
rnacentral:tRNA from 1 species